rnacentral:lncRNA from 1 species
CAGGAACAAGCUGAUAUCACAAACUCCAACUCUGAGUAUACCUUACUGUCCAAAACCAUUAUUUCCCUGGGAGUGAAACAAUUUGAUACUGAAAAAAUUCUCUGAAAUUGAGUUAGUGUUUUUAGUCAAAACAGUUAGAGUAAGCUGAAAUAUUAGUUUAGAACGUGUAGCUUUUGCUGUGAUACAUGCUUCCAGCAUUUUCUAUUUUUAUGUCAUAGAAUUCAAUAAUAUGUUAUAAUUAUUUAGAAUUGUUAAAUGUUGUAAUAUCGAACAUGGGUUGUCAAAAUAGGUUUUUCGUUUUAACAGAGGCUCUCAUCUAUAAUCGUGUAUUAGUAACUAAUUAGUAAUGAUAGAAACUCCUUGCUGAUUCAGGCUUUAAAUUGUUCUAUCUACUGUCUCUGUUUUAGCCUAGUUGGAAUUACUUGCCACCAACACUUUCCCCUUAUACUAACUUUUAAGUAUUAAAGUAAAUGCUUGAUCUUAAAAAAGGCAUCUGGUCGAACCAACAUUAUUUACAGCUGAUCUUUUCAAUUUCAAAAAUCUUGAGUGAAAUUUAAUAACUAUAUUAACAACAGAAAAGUCAGUUUGUAACAUGUCCCAGUAGCAUACAUCUUAAAAAUGUGUGACCAUUAAAUAAAGUACUUAAACACUUGUCUUUAGUUUUGAUUUUUUUAAUGGAUAAAAGGAUAUGUAUUUAAAAUAUUAACAGUCUUACCUUGGAAGUACCCCAAUUUGCUUAACUGUGAAAAUUGAAGGGAAGUAGAGGUGAAAGAUGCUUCAAGUAUGAACCUGAUAAAUGGACCAACUUUGAGUGAAUUAGAAGUGGAACUUCAGCAUGAUCUGUAGCAGGAACAAACUGAUAUCACAAACACCAAUGCUGAUGAUUAUAAACCCCCAAAAAAAAAACUUAUUUUUCAAAACCAUUAUUCACCCAAAACUGGGAAUUUGAGCAUGCUCUGCCAUUGCACCAACAGGAUUGUUAUCUUUGAGAUUUCCUAUUAUUUAUUUCUAACAUUUGGUACCUUCCUUUUGAUUGGUCCUUUUUGAUGAGAUUCUGUAUAUUCUCCUUACUGUUUUACAUCAGUUUUUCCUUGCUUAUAACACCACCAUUGUAUGAAUCUAUAUAGUAAGACAAAGUAUUAUAAUAUAAUUCUUUGAACCAAAAAAGUUAGCUAUGUGGAAAUAAACACUCACUCUAUUUAGGCUCAAUUUGAAUCCUCCCACUUUAUGAGAACUUCUAAGAUAAAUUAUUUUAGUUCUAGAAAAGUUUACUUAUAUAAGUUGAUUUUAACUUUGAUUUAGUUUACCUUCUUAAUUUAUUAAUUAAUUGUAUUCUUUUUUCCUAUAAAUAACUUUUGGGGUAUAAUCUUUAUCUGUCUUUUUUAUAAGAAAAAAGGAAGAAAAAAACUACCUGUAACACAAUGUUUCCACAAAGGCAUUGGGAAUUGGCUCAACAGCAAUCCAUUCCCCAUCUUUCCAAUUCUCAACCACAUGUUUGGUGGCUCUUCCACUAUUUGUGUAGAGCUUGCACCUUCCAUUUGGAUCCUUAGUGUCGUUUAUCUUUUCAUCCUAAGGCAUGCCAUGGAAUUCUUUUGAAAAUAUUCCGUGUAGCAUCCACUAUAUCCUUAGAAACUCUAUGGUUGAUAACCUAGCAAGUUUAUCACAGUUUCAGAUUAACCAAAUAUACAUACAAGCACACAAAAUCAAGGCCAAACAUCUAAGACUAUAUAAAAUGUGUAGUAUUUCUCAUAAGAAACAAUUUAUUGGCCACAGCAAGUUAUAUAUAUAUCAGACAACACCAAAGAUAUCCAUCACGUGUGUUCAACCAAUAUAGUGGCACAUAUGCUGUUAGGAACUAUAGUAACAGAAAAAUGCUAAAUGAUUACACACAUAUUUAUAGGUAGAUUGGAUGCCACUGCAAAAGAAAAAACAAACAAAUAUAACCAUUUGAAGUAAUAAAAAAUUGUAUUGCAUUAUAAAACAAAAUUUACAAGAGAGUCUUUAAAAUAAUAUAGUAUAAUAGAACCAUUGGAAGUGGAGAUUUCUGUCGUUGAUGGGAAGAAUAUGUAUAAUUAAAUCAGUUUUAACCGCUAUUCCUCUAUUCUCUUUAUCCUAUUUUAAAUCCUCGGAGUCGGUUUAGGCUUGGGGAAGGAUAGCAGGUAAAUGUCUUGGGUAAGUUGGGAGAAUAUGUGUAAACAGUGGAGGCAGACGGUUUGGGAGUUAAAGAUAUAAGAAAGUUCAAUGGAGUUGUUCUAACUAAAUGGAAGUGGCGAUUUGUAGGUGAAGAAAAAGGGUUGUGGAAGAAUAACCUAGUAUCUAAAUACGACCCCUUUUGAAAAAUCAAUCCAGGUGGUGGAGAGAUUUAUCUAAACUAUGUGACCAGGGGGAGGAGAAGGGUGGUUCUAAGAAGCUCUGGAAUGGAAAGUGAGUUGUGGAGACAAAGUUAGAUUCUGGGAGGAUGUUUGGGUGGGCGGAAAUAAACUUAGUUCUGUGUAUCCUAGGUUGUUCACCCUUGGAAAGGAUCAGGGGCUAACAGUGAGCGAGGUGGGCGUAUGGGAAGACUCGGCUUGGAUCUGGAAACUAAGAUGGAGGAGGGUUAGGUUUGAAUAGGAAGUUGUGCAAGAAGCGGAAAUGCUUUGGUCUUUGUCAGGGGGCACUCUGAAUAGGGAGGCAAAGGACACACACUAGUGUGGAGAGGGAAUGCAAUAGGAAGAGUUUUCUGUGAAGUAAGCUUAUGAACGUUUUUCUAACUCUUACAUAAGUCCUCCUAACGGGCUGUUCAAACAGUUGUGGCAAUCUAAAGCAAUGCUCAAAGUCUGGACAACUGCUUGGAGGGUUCUGUUAGAUAGAAUUCCAACUCGUUCCAGCUUAGUCAGGAGAGGAGUUUUGGUUAAUUCAACUAGUUGUGCUCUUUGCCAUGUUGUUCAACAUCUAUUUAUAGAGUGUCCCAUAGGACAAAUAGUGUGGUCUCUCUGCUUUAAGUGGGUAGGUAUCCUGUUCUUACAACAUAAGUUACUUCGAGAACUUCCCCUUAGAAGAGUUGAGUUCAAAGCAGAACUUGGUCUGGAAAAUUAUGUGGGGGACAAUGGUGAGACGACUAUGAGAACAAAGAAACUCUAUUAUUUUUAAGAAGGGUUCCUGAUGCGGAAGAAAUCUUUCAUAUGACACAGCUUAAUUCAUGGUUGUGGUUUGAAACAUAAGACUCGCUCUUUCAAUUAUUCUUUCUCGGAUUGGCCUAAAUCUGAUCCUAUCCAUCAAAAGUCAAAUGUAAAAGGAGGGGAAGCCUGUUUGGGAGUGCAGUCAGUCGGCUAAAUGAAGUUUGAGAUGGGAGGACAAGGCAGAGGAAGGAAUAGUAGAGAUAGUGCAGAUCAUCAAGCAGGGAGAUGUAGGACCUGCUCUUGCUCUGAGCAGUAUAGAAAGGUAUCUUGAUCAGGAGGACUUGGAAGAUGGCUUGCUGUGAGGUGCUCUAGUGAAGGCAAAGGUGUUGUACUUGCCAAAACCGUUUUCGGAGCUUUAUUGGAGGUGUAGCAGAGAGUGUAUGACAGCUGUAAGGAGAUACAGCAGCACCGUUUAUGCAGUAGAGGAAUUGUUGUAGACGCUUUGGAAAGGUCACCUUGUAGCUUCUUGGUGGUGCUGCAGGACAGAUUCUAGGGAGAGCGCUGUAAUGGUAUCUGUGCUAGUGCUAGAGGUAGUCAAAGAGAUGCAUUUAUAGAAGGAAGUGUGAAGAGCAAACAAUGUUUUAUAGGGUACUUGAAAAUGUGUGUUCUGGUAUAAUCUGCAUAUUUAUGCAAUGAGGCAUUGCUUGAAUAUGCUUGCGUCAUGCAGCAUGCUAGUCUUGUUCUUAUGGACGCUUGUGGUAUUCUUAAGUGCCUUGCUAAUGCGAAUCUUAGGUAGCAGCUGGUGCAGUUUUGUAUAUUUGGCAUUGUGGAUCCCUGAUUAUGGUGCUUAAGCCAAGGCUGAGGCUAUGUUGUUAACCUGUAAGGGCCAAGCCAGCAGGUUCUGUUCUGGUUUUUUGCUUUCUAUGCCUAUUUCUGUUUUAUGCAGCAAAAGGAACCUUGUGAGCACAUGGGAAGUAGUACAAAUAGCUAUGGCUAGAGAGGAGGUGGCUCAAGACUUCACCAGCAUAGACUGCGGAGCUCAAGCAGAUGUGAGAUAUACUGAAAUAUCCACAUACAUAGAUUCUUUUCAGAUGCAAAUUUGUUAACUGGUGUGAAGAUUCUUGGAAAAUUGGAAGUUCUUAUAAGGAAGUGAAGAGCUCGGUUUCUGAAGCAUGAUUGCAAAGUGUUGUGUCAUAGAAUCAAAUCACGGUGGUUUGAUAGCUGCAGCAGGAUGGAUAAAAAAACCUUUGGCUUUUGCUUUUGAACCUCGUCAAUACCUCUGUUGAGGGACUUUUGAGGUCUUGAAAUCACAUCAGCAGCAUAUAGGGAGUUACAUCAGAAGGGUGUAUGGCUGUUCUUAUGUAGGGGAUGUGGCCAAUCAAUUCUGCAGGUGCUGUUUUGGUGUAGGGUAAUCGGUGUAUGGCUGCUCUUAGACAAAGGAUGUGGCCAAUUCUGCAGGUGCUGGCUUCAUGCAGGUUAAUCUGAAGCAGGGGGUUUUCACCAAUUCUGCAGAUGGGAAGGACUCUGUGAUGUGGUCUUUUGGCUUUAAGUUUAGGGUUUAGGCUUUAAUUUAUUUAUUUUUUGAGUCAGUGUAAUUUACAAAAUAUAGAACACAUAGUUACUUAUUAUAAAUAGAAUUCAGAUUUAUAUGAACAAGUUGAAUUUUUUUUACUAAAAAAUGUCAAUUUUAAAGAAUUUAUUUUUUAUUUUUAUAAUUAUAAUAAAAAUUUAUAUAAUAAAUUUAAAUUAUUAAAAAAUCAUUUUAUUUACUUUUUAAAAUUUUGUUGAAACCGUGUUAAAAUUUUCAUAAAUAUAAAAAACAAUGUCUUUUGAAAUGGAGAUUUUAACCACUCGUGUUUUAUAAGUGUUGUGUGUUCACUGUCGGAAACAAGGACACGUAAGAAGAAAACGCCGCCUUAUUAAAAACUGCAGGAGAUCUUAUUUGGGGAAGAUUCCAACCCAACCUUAAAUAUGCAUGACAAGCCAAACGAUUGAGGAGCAACAUAGUUCAAUGUGUAUGGUAAGUGACAAGUGAGAACUACUUAAGCAAGAAGGUGUCACAAAUUGGAACUAUGUUUCUGAAUUGUGUGGGCAUGUGUUGUUCGAAGCCCACAACAAAUACAACUUCAUCUCAGAGACAGUUUCCAACGUUGAUAGAAGAGCUGUGCCAUCAAUUUUCUCUCUCCGAUCUUAGGAAAGCCAUCAAUAACUUUGAUCAGAAGAGAGUAAUAGGAAGUGGAUUUUUUAGUGAAGUAUAUUAAGGGUGUCUGCAGCAUGAUGGUGCUUCUGAUUACACGGUCGCAAUAAAGCGAUUUCAUUAUCAAGGAUGGGAAGCGUUCAACAAGGAAAUCGAAUUGCUAUGCCAGCUUCGUCACCCUAGAUGUGUUUCUCUUAUAGGAUUCUGCAACCACCAAAAUGAGAAGAUUCUUGUAUACGAGUACAUGUCCAAUGGAUCUCUAGAUAAACACCUUCAAGAUGGUGAACUAUCAUGGAAGAAGAGGCUAGAGAUCUGCAUAGGAGUAGCACGUGGACUACACUACCUUCACACUGGUGCCAAGCGUUCCAUCUUUCACUGUAUCCUCGGUCCUAGUACCAUCCUUUUGGAUGACCAAAUGGAGCCAAAACUCGCUGGUUUCGGUGUUAGCAUGCAGGGAUCACGUUUUAUGUCAAAGCAGAAGCAAAUCAAUGUAGAUCGUGUUUUGGGUAAUUUUUGUUUUGUUGUAUGAGCUCACUCACUGCAAUGAAUUUUUGUGGAUCAAACUAAGCUAAUACUCUUUGUUAUAGGUACUUUUGGCUACCCGGCUACGGACUAUGUCAUGGAUGGUACCAUCACAGCUAAAUGGGAUGUUUUCUUAUUUGGUUUGCUUCUACUAAAAGUUGUGUGCAGGAGCAUAUUUUAUUUAAUAACCCUGACUGAAAAAGAAUGUCUGGAGAAUCCUGUUAAGGAGGGAAUUGAUCCGAUUAUCAAAGGAAAGAUUGCACCAGAUUGUUGGCAAGUGUUUGUAGAUGUGAUGGUAACUUGCUUGAAGUAUGACCCAGAUGAGAGACCAACAAUUGGUGAAGUGGAGGUUCAACUUGAGCAUGCAGGAACAAGCUGAUAUUACAAACUCCAACUCUGAGUAUACCUUACUGUCCAAAACCAUUAUUUCCAUGGGAGUGAAACAAUUUCAUACUGAAGAAAUGUAAGUGACCAGAUCACUGAAAUUGAGUUUAGUGUUUUUAGUCAAAACAGUUAGUAAUCUGAAAUUUGUUUAGAAUUUAGAUACUUGUGUAGCUUUUGCAGUGAUACAUGCAUCCAGCAUUUUCU